CGGAACGGGUGAGUAACACGUGGGCAACCUGCCCAAAAGAGGGGGAUAACACUUGGAAACAGGUGCUAAUACCGCAUAACCAUAGUUACCGCAUGGUAACUAUGUAAAAGGUGGCUAUGCUACCGCUUUUGGAUGGGCCCGCGGCGCAUUAGCUAGUUGGUGGGGUAAAGGCUUACCAAGGCAAUGAUGCGUAGCCGAACUGAGAGGUUGAUCGGCCACAUUGGGACUGAGACACGGCCCAAACUCCUACGGGAGGCAGCAG
rnacentral:rRNA from 1 species